GACCCUAUAGAGUUUAAUAUUUUAUUGAUAAAUUAUUUUUUAGAAUUUAAUAUUAAUUUAUUAAUUGAAUAUUUGAUUGGGGUGAUUGAAAAAUUUAAGUAACUUUUUUUAUAUUUAAACAUUAAUUUAUGAUUAUUUGAUCCAUUAUUUAUGAUUAUAAGAUUAAAUUACCUUAGGGAUAACAGCGUAAUUUUUUUUAAGAGUUCAAAUCGAAAAAAAAGAUUGCGACCUCGAUGUUGGAUUAAAAUUUAUUUUUGGUGUAGAAGCUAAAUUUAUUGGGUCUGUUCGACCUUUAAAAUUUUACAUGAUCUGA
rnacentral:rRNA from 1 species